rnacentral:rRNA from 1 species
CUUGACCGUGCCAAGUAGCAUAAUCAUUUGUCUUUUAAUUAAAGGCUUGUAUGAAUGGUUGGAUGAGAUAUAAUCUAUUUUUAUUUAAUUAAAAAUGAAUUUUAAUUUUUAGUAAAAAUGCUAAAAUAAAAAAUAUAGACGAGAAGACCCUAUAAAUCUUUAUUAUUUUUUUAUUAAUUUAUUAAUAGAAAAAAAAAUUUAUUAUUAGAAAAAUAAUUUUAUUGGGGUGAUAAUGAAAUUUAAUAAACUUUUAUUUUAUUUUAUAAAUAUAAUUAAUUUAAUGAUCCAUUUUUAAUGAUUAUAAAAUUAAGUUACUUUAGGGAUAACAGCGUAAUUAUUUUAAAGAGUUCAUAUCGAUAAAAUAGUUUGCGACCUCGAUGUUGAAUUAAGAGUAAGUUUAGGUGUAGAAGCA